AUUGAACGCUGGCGGCAGGCCUAACACAUGCAAGUCGAGCGGAGCGGCGGACGGGUGAGUAAUGCCUAGGAAUAUGCCUGGUAGUUGGGGCUAACGUCCGGCAACGGGCGCUAAUACAGCAUACUCGCAGAUGAGCCUAGGUCGGAUUAGCUAGUUGGUGGGGUAAAGUCCUACCAAGGCGACGAACCGUAACUGGUCUGAGAGGAUGAUCAGUCACACUGGAACGGAGACACGGUCCAGACUCCUACGGGAGGCAGCAGUGGGGAAUAUUGGACAAUGGGCGAAAGCCUGAUCAAGCCAUGCCGCGUGUGUGAAGAAGGUCUUCGGAUUGUAAAGCACUUUAAGUUGGGAGGCGUUACCAACAGAAUAAGCACCGGCUAACGUCGUGCCAGCAGCCGCGGUAAUUC
rnacentral:rRNA from 1 species